rnacentral:rRNA from 1 species
GACGAACGCUGGCGGCGUGCCUAAUACAUGCAAGUUGAGCGCUGAAGGUUGGUACUUGUACCAACUGGAUGAGCAGCGAACGGGUGAGUAACGCGUGGGGAAUCUGCCUUUGAGCGGGGGACAACAUUUGGAAACGAAUGCUAAUACCGCAUAAAAACUUUAAACACAAGUUUUAAGUUUGAAAGAUGCAAUUGCAUCACUCAAAGAUGAUCCCGCGUUGUAUUAGCUAGUUGGUGAGGUAAAGGCUCACCAAGGCGAUGAUACAUAGCCGACCUGAGAGGGUGAUCGGCCACAUUGGGACUGAGACACGGCCCAAACGCCUACGGGAGGCAGCAGUAGGGAAUCUUCGGCAAUGGACGAAAGUCUGACCGAGCAACGCCGCGUGAGUGAAGAAGGGUUUCGGAUCGUAAAACUCUGUUGGUAGAGAAGAACGUUGGUGAGAGUGGAAAGCUCAUCAAGUGACGGUAACUACCCAGAAAGGGACGGCUAACUACGUG